rnacentral:rRNA from 1 species
UACGUAGGUGGCAAGCGUUGUCCGGAUUUAUUGGGUUUAAAGGGUGCGUAGGCGGCCUAUUAAGUCAGUGGUGAAAUACUCUAGCUUAACUAGAGGGGUGCCAUUGAUACUGAUGGGCUUGAGUACAGAUGAGGUAGGCGGAAUUGACGGUGUAGCGGUGAAAUGCUUAGAUAUCGUCAAGAACACCUAUAGCGAAGGCAGCUUACUAGGCUGUAACUGACGCUGAGGCACGAAAGUGUGGGGAUCAAACAGG